AUUUGACAGCUUAAUCAAAUAUAUAUAAUACUGUGCCUGAUAAUUAGAGUUGAAUGUUUUUAGGGUCCGCCGGGUGAUUUUGGGCCUAGUGGUAUCCAGGGCCCGAAAGGACCACAGGGUUUGAUGGGAAGGGAAGGAACCAUUGGACCAGUCGGAAUCAUCGGCCCCAGUGGAUAUCCAGGACCACAGGGGGACAAAGGAAAUCGAGGGGAAACGGU
rnacentral:lncRNA from 1 species